rnacentral:rRNA from 1 species
UUCAUCGCUCGCGAUGUUUAACUGACAUGAUUGUGGGACGUCCUACCGGUGGGCUUAGCUCGUUGCGUUUGGCUCUCCCGUCGGUCCUCGGGCUUUAGCGUUGCCGUGUUUCGUUCCUCUUUCGGGAGGUCGUUCGCGGUGCGCGGGUUCGGGGAUAGCCGGCGGAUCGGAGUCGGGCGUAGCGGCGGCCCAAUUGAUCCCAUCGCUAUGCUCUUCACCGGGUGUCGUGGUGGGCCGGUACGUUUACUUUGAACAAAUUAGAGUGCUCAAAGCAGGCUUUAUUUACGCCUGAAUACUUAGUGCAUGGAAUAAUGGAAUAGGACCUCGGUUCUAU